UUCAAGAUACUGAAGAUAAUAAAGAGCUAACGUCCAAAAGCAGUAAAAAAAGACCGGCAGUUCAAGAUAAUGAGGCUUCAUCCAGCUGUAAUCAUAAAGAAACCCUACAAGCAGUCCGGGUGUACACAGACUCCUGUUCCAAGAAAUCUGGGAGCCUUAAACAGGUGGCAGGGUUAGGGGGAUGGUAUCACGAAAAGAAGUUUCACAUAUUUAGUGCUGCUUAUUCCAACCCCCACAAACUUCAUAACAACGACCUAGAAAUGUUAGCCAUUUUAAUGGCAUUAAAACUGUAUGGUAGAGGCUGGCAAGGUAUGAAUGUUGAAUCCUACUGUGACAACGAUUCGACAGUGAACUUGCUUAAAGUUUAUUGUGCUGAGGCCUCUCUAAAUAAGACAAAGAAAAAAAGACAGAGGAGAACUGUUUUUCAGAAUUUGAUCAUUAGCAGAAUUAAAGAGGAACUGUAUAGGUCUAAAAUUUGUUUAUCUCCAAUCAAGAUUCCUGCUAAACAAAAUUGUCGAGCCGAUGUCUUAUCGAGACAGGGAAACAAAGCAUUUCUAUCUCAUCUUCCUCGUGAUGCAGAAUAUUUUGUAUAUGACGUUACUCCUGAAUUACAGUAUUUUGAUCGAAGUCUGGAAAGUUGGAUAAAACAACCUAAAUUAAAUAGACAGAUCAUUCCCUUCUGGAAUCCUUGGCCAAUUCAUAACAAUUCCGUAGAAAAUUUAAGUAAAUUUUUCAUCACAGUUUGCAAAAUUCUGCAAAAAAUUCUGCAGUUGAAUUCUUUCAAAGAAUUUCAAAUUUUAAUUCUUAAACAUAAAGCUGUAAUUGUUCUAAAGCUUCAUUAUACACUCAGCAGUUUAUUUUUACUAAACUGCUUUGAUAGUAUUAAUGUUUUAAGAUCCAAAUUAAGAGCCCUAAUGGCUGAUGUUCCACGACCACAGGGUUCAGUUUUAGGACCACUACUUUUAACUGUAUACAUAAAUAACAUAGUUCAUGGAAAUAACAGUAACAUCAGACCUUUUGCUGAUGAUACAUCCAUUUUUUGCUAUCGUAGAUGAUCCAUUUGAAGCAGCUAACUGCCUAAAUGAGGAUCUAGAAAAAAUAUCCAGCUUGGUAAAUACUAUGCAGUUCACGCGCAGAAAUGUUAACCCCAAACCGAUUGCUGUCCAAGAUGUUAAUAAAAGUCAUAAACAAAUAACACUGCAAAACGACUGUUCAUGGGACGCACACAUUCACUUUAUUAGUAAAAGUGUUUGUCCCAUGAUAAAUUGUCUGAAGUUUCAAAUAUCGCUUGUCUAGAAAAACACGAGUCCAUGUACAAAUGCUGUAUACUUCCUACUUUUGAUUACUGCUCUCAUAUUAAGGACAACUGCCCAGUAUUACUUUAGAUGCCCUUAGAACAAUAUGUGGUGCUGUCCAUGAAACAAACUUAUAAAAAUCCAAGCCCAAUUACGACAAAUUUCAAAAGCGUAUAAACAAUGGAUGCACAGAUAUAUGAACAAACAUAGGAAACACGUAACAAAUUCAUUCUAGUAAAACAAAAAACACUCACAAAAAGAGUUUUGGGAAAUGCUUAACUCAAAUACUGAACCAAAACAUUCGGCUAAACCAAAUACUGAAACUUUCUUCAACUAUUACACGGAACAGAAUGAAAACAAUUCAGAGAACGGUAUUCCUGCUGUGUGUCAUGAACAAAAUGUUAACUUAUGAUGAUAUGGAAUUACUUCUGGCAUCACAAAAGAUGAAAUAACUCAAGUAGUCAAAAUUUUAAAAAGGAACAAAACCUGAAUGACCUGGCUUGGACCUGAAUGAAAAUGAUUAUCUGACUGAUGUGAUUGAUAUUUUACUCAUGUUUCAAGUACAUUAUUUCAAUUUGAUACUUGCCUCUGGAAGAAUUGAGGGGAUGUUUCUCAAACUUGUGCAGAAUAUGUAUCAAUUUCAGUUGAAUCUCAGACGUUUUUACAUACAACUCUGGUAUACGGAGGAUCUCAACCACCAGCGGGUGAAGCUGAUGAAAUAAUAUUACUUUGUUUGGCCAAAUGUGGUUAAAUGUAAACAUCAUUUAAGAUAAUUUCUUUAAUUAUGAUGUGUUUCUGUAUAUCUCUCUUACAUCACAAUAUGUCCUCUUUUUUUAGUAAUUAUCCUGGACUUUUUUUGCAUUUGUCCACCUUGUACUUAUUGCUUUUAUGAUUUAAUAGGUGUACGCUGAGUUUUACUGUGUGCCUACAGGGCUCGAUUUAGUGCUUUCUUACUUGCACUGGUGCAACGCAAUAUGACAAAGUGCAACCUUGUUAUGAGUCUAACUUGCACAAGGUGCACGUCAAUUUUGAGAAAAAAACAUAAAUAAAAUCUAACAUUAUAAGCAUAAAUAUGUCAGCUAAUUUUCUUUCUAAACUUUGAAUAGCUAUGGCACUGAAAUAUUGCUAUUACUAUACACGUUGAAUCAUCCUAUGCUGUACAUCAUAAGGCAGACAUUUUGCCAGGAAUCAUCCUAUGUUGUACAUCAUAAGGCAGACAUUUUGCCAGGAAUCAUCCUAUGUUGUACAUCAUAAGGCAGACAUUUUGCCAGGAAUCAUCCUAUGUUGUUCAUCAUAAGGCAGACAUUUUGCCAGGAAUCAUCCUAUGUUGUACAUCAUAAGGCAGACAUUUUGCCAGGAAUCAUCCUAUGCUGUACAUCAUAAGGCAGACAUUUUGCCAGGAAUCAUCCUAUGCUGUACAUCAUAAGGCGGACAUUUUGCCAGGAAUCAUCCUAUGUUGUACAUCAUAAGGCAGACAUUUUGCCAGGAAUCAUCCUAUGUUGUACAUCAUAAGGCAGACAUUUUGCCAGGAAUCAUCCUAUGUUGUACAUCAUAAGGCAGACAUUUUGCCAGGAAUCAUCCUAUGCUGUACAUCAUAAGGCAGACAUUUUGCCAGGAAUCAUCCUAUGUUGUACAUCAUAAGGCAGACAUUUUGCCAGGAAUCAUCCUAUGCUGUAUAUCAUAAGGCAGACAUUUUGCCAGGAAUCAUCCUAUGCUGUACAUCAUAAGGCAGACAUUUUGCCAGGAAUCAUCCUAUGUUGUACAUCAUAAGGCAGACAUUUUGCCAGGAAUCAUCCUAUGUUGUACAUCAUAAGGCAGACAUUUUGCCAGGAAUCAUCCUAUGUUGUACAUCAUAAGGCGGACAUUUUGCCAGGAAUCAUCCUAUGUUGUACAUCAUAAGGCAGACAUUUUGCCAUGAAUCAUCUAUGUUGUACAUCAUAAGGCAGAAUUUUGCCAGAAAUCAUCCUAUGUUGUACAUCAUAAGGCAGACAUUUUGCCAGGAAUCAUCCUAUGUUGUACAUCAUAAGGCGGACAUUUUGCCAGGAAUCAUCCUAUGUUGUACAUCAUAAGGCAGACAUUUUGCCAUGAAUCAUGUAUGUUGUACAUCAUAAGGCAGACCAGACGAUCAAGGUAUCAUCUACAGGUAGAGUCAGGUGUCACAAUGAUUUCCAGAAUAAGAAGUUUGUCAUGUUCGUGACAUCAGGCAUCACCAGAUCAACUUUUAUCAGACUGCAAACUUUCCACAUAGGUGUCGGGUGAUCGAUGGAAUGUACGUUUAGUUUCAAGAAAACAGAAAACAAAAAAUGUCUACCACAUCACUACCAGAGCAUCAAUACAAGGAUUGCUUUCAAUAAUGAAGACAGGUUAAAUGAUGUUGUUGCUCGGUGGUCUGGAUCAACACACGAUUCACGCAUAUUGACCAACAGCGGUGUCUACCAGUUGUUCGACAGGAAUGUUGUCCCCAUCGGAUAUCACCUUCUCAGUGACAGUGGUUACCCCUGUAAGAAGUGGCUACUAACCCCUGACUAUUGGUGGGACCACAAACAAAUCACAACAGAUCACAUGAAAGAACAAGGAGCACAGUUGAAAGGGUCAUUGGCCAACUCAAGCACAGAUUUCCUGUUGAAGACUUCAUGGGGAAAUAAGGUUAAAACCUGAGAAGGCUUGCAAGGUGAUGAUAGCUUGUGCUGACCUUCACAACAUAUACAAGGACAGAAACAUUCCAGUACCACCCACAGAUGGGCAUGAUGGAUAUGGAAGGCGUGAUGGGCAGAAUGGAGGUCUACCAGAAAUCACUCCAUCACUGGCUGCACUGACAUAUAGGGAGCACUUGACCAGUACGAACUUUCCAAAGCUUCCACCAUGUGGCAUUAUGGCUCCAUCUGCAUGGACUGCUGGCUCCACAGGACACAUUCUGGCUCCCUCUGGCUCCCUCUGGUUGUGACAUGGCUGCUUAAAUCUCUCUGCAAAAUGAAAUGAUUAAAAUGUGCUUGUAAUUUUCAUAUAAAUGUUCUUUCAAUUUCAA